UUAAAUAUUAGAAUUUUUAUGAUAAUAAUGGAAGAUAAAAUAUUUUUAUUUCAGUUAAGAAUAGAGUAAAGUUUAUUAAAAUACUAUGUUAUACCUAAGUUGUACCGCAAGGGAAAUUUGAAAAGAUGGUUGGUGUCUUAAUAACUAAGAAGAAGCUGAUUUGGUGUACCUUUUGUAUUAUGGCUAGCUAAAUUUAUUGAGGGAAAGACUUAAUUAACGAAAUAAGGUGAGCUAUUUUUUUCCACUUGUAGGAAGAAUCUCCGGUUGUAGAAAAACUUGUGGGGUGAGGAAAAAAUAGAGGUGAAAGGCCUACCGAACCUUGUGUUAGCUUUUUUUUAGGGAAGGGAGUAUAAGUUCGGAAUUUUUUUUGUUUUUAGAAGAUUUCGGCUAAUCGAGAUUUUUUUAGAGGGUUAAACCUUUUAAUCUAAGAAAGAUCAGUGAGAAUUUAGGUUUCCUUUUAAAUAGGUUAUAGCAACUUUUUUUGGGAGUGCGUUUAAGCUCGUUAGGAGCUUUUUGUUUAAUUUUUGUAGGUGAAGUCGUUCUUGUGUGAAGUACCUAAAUGUUCUUUGAAUAGAGUUAAUUAUGGUUAGAUGAGUAAGUUUUGUUCGGCUAAAAGAAUAAGAAGGAAACUUUUAUUUUGAUUUGUUUUCUUAUCUGUUUUUUUAUUUUAAAGAAUAGAGUGUAUAUAUAUAGUAAAGAGGAACUCGGCAAAUAUUUUCUGCGCCUGUUUACCUAAAACAUCGCCUUCGGAGUAAGCUCGAAAGGUCCGACCUGCCCGGUGAUUCUUAGAGUUAAACGGCUGCAGUACUCUGACUGUGCAAAGGUAGCAUAAUCAUUAGCCUAUUAAUUGUAGGCUGGCAUCAACGGUUAGACGACAGAAAAACUGUCUUUUUACUAUCUUCCGAAAUUUAUUUUUAGGUGAAGAAGCCUAAAUUAUUUAAUGGGACGAGAAGACCCUAUUGAGCUUUAAAUAUCUUGUAAAUUUGGUUAUAAGUUUAUUUUGAGUUGGGGCAACUAUUCUUUAUCUUUAACAAGAAUAUAAUCUCUGAAUUGAUUCUUUAUAGACCCAAAAUAUUUUGGAGUUAGAAAAAGUUACCUUAGGGAUAACAGCGUUAUUUUUCUUGAGAGCACUUAUUGACAGAGAAGUUUGCGACCUCGAUGUUGGAUUAAGGUUUCCUGGGGGUGCAGCAGCUUCCAAGGGUUGGUUUGUUCAACCAUUAAUAUCUUACGUGAUCUGAGUUCAGUCCGUCGUGAGACAGGACAGUUUCUAUCUAUUAUUAUCUUCUUUUUGUACGAAAGGACUUUUGAAGAAAGAGCUAGGACUAUAGUUCCCUCUUGGAAACAACUAGAAUUAGAUGAGC
rnacentral:rRNA from 1 species